AGAGUUUGAUCCUGGCUCAGGACGAACGCUGGCGGUGUGCUUCACACAUGCAAGUCGAGCGAAUGAAGUAGGUAGCUUGCUACUUAUGGAUUUAGCGGCGGACGGGUGAGUAAUAUAUAGGAAUCUGCCUUAGAGCGGGGAACAACAGACCGAAAGGUUUGCUAAUGCCCCAUAGGUAUGCAGUCUUCGGAUUGUAUAUUAAAGGAGUAAUCCACUCUAAGAUGAGCCUGUAUCCGAUUAGCUAGUUGGCGGGGUAAAGGCCCACCAAGGCUACGAUCGGUAGUCGGCCUGAGAGGAUGAUCAGCCACAAUGGGACUGAGACACGGCCCAUACUCCUACGGGAGGCAGCAGUGGGGAAUUUUACACAAUGGGGGAAACCCUGAUGUAGCGACACCGCGUGAACGAAGAAGCCUUUUGGGGUGUAAAGUUCUGUCGGCUGGAACGAAAAAAAUGACGGUACCAGCAAAGGAAGCAUCGGCUAACUACGUGCCAGCAGCCGCGGUAAGACGUAGGAUGCAAGCGUUGUCCGGAUUUAUUGGGCGUAAAGAGUUCGUAGGCGGUUAUUUAAGUCUGAUGUUAAAUACUGUGGCCCAACCACAGAACUGCAUUGGAUACUGGAUGACUUGAGUGCGGUAGAGGCAAGUGGAAUUCCCAGUGUAGCGGUGAAAUGCGUAGA
rnacentral:rRNA from 1 species